rnacentral:snRNA from 1 species
GUGCUUGCUUCAGCAGCACGUAUGCUAAAAUUGGAAUGAUACAGAGAAGAUUAGCAUUGCUCCUGCCCAAGGAUGACAUGCAAAUUUGUGAAGCAUUCCAUAUUUUU